CGAUAGUUACAGGGCUGGCGAUAUUCAUUCCUAUCACUAUCGGAGUGUUAAUAUUUCUUGUUCUCAAGAAAAAAAUACAGUGGUUAAAGGGGAAUCAUCCGACACCACGUCAGCCUGAAGAAACGGAAGAGAGUCAAAAAUCGGAGAAGCCAGUCUGCGCUGAUCCUCUGGUGCAGUCACAUAGUUCUAAACCUACUCCUGGGAUUACAAUGCUUACAGAAACAUCAGGACUCCUGAGAAGCUCUUCAGACUUCAAACUGCCAUUAGGCUGAAUGAACAGGCUUUGUGUGCAAGAAAGUGGACUUUAAAAAGACUGUCUUCACUUGCCUCUACAGCUCUAGUAAAAAAAACUGAAGAGUUAAUGGGGCUCAUGGGUUUAUUCUCCUUCUGUUGUGUCUACAUGGCAAAUACGUGAUAUAUUUUUGAUAUACAAUAAGCUUCUUAGCUUGUAUUUCAAACAUGUUUCUUUUAACACAAAAUAAUUAAUAACACGAACUAAAUCCCCACUAUAAUACAUUUCAGCUGCAAUAAACUACAAGUAGUCCUUUCAUGUUUCCGUUCAACAAAUACUACGGUCUAACUCUGGGGUAGUCGGUGACGCCUUUUAUAUGUGCAGCCUAUCGGGCGACCUCUAGUGGCAGGCGGUCGGAAAUGAAACAUUCCGCCAUUUCUAGUCUAAAACCGCUUAAAUACCUUUUACGUUGGUUAGUUAUUCUUUAUGCUAGAUAACAAUAAUGCUUUAUUCUGUUACAUUUUAUAAUACUCAUUGUUCUUCUUAUUCUUAUUAUGCCACUUGCAUAAUAAAAUUCGAUUUAUUUGAGAUGCAAAACAAAAUUAAUGGAGAACACAGCAGCAGAAUUGAUGUAUUUGUCUUAAAAAACAAGAAAUGCUUUCUUUUCUGAUUAUGAAGCUAGGCAAUGUUACUUUCAGUACCAGUGUGGGGAAUUUAGAAAAAAAAGAAGGAAAUAUUCUAAAAUGACUUUUAUUCUGAUUUCUUGGCAUGUAAAAAUCAGUUUAUCCUUUUUUUCAUUUCCAAAAACAUAUAGUUUACUCAGUGAGAGAGGAGAAGUAAGCAAGAUUACCAAGCUGAUGUCAUACACUAAUUGACAAUUAAUUUGGCAUUGACUGAAUUUCAAUUCUGAUUCACAUGAAUACAAAAUUAACUAAAAAGUAUUAACUUAAUUACACU